GAGUUUGAUCCUGGCUCAGGAUUAACGCUAGCGGCAGGCCUAACACAUGCAAGUCGAGGGGCAGCACGGGGUAGCAAUACUCUGGUGGCGACCGGCGCACGGGUGAGUAACGCGUAUGCAACCUACCUUUAACAGGAAGAUAGCCCCGAGAAAUCGGGAUUAAUACUCCAUAAUGAUUAAGAACUGCAUGGUUUUUAAUUUAAAGUUCCGACGGUUAAAGAUGGGCAUGCGUGACAUUAGUUAGUUGGUGAGGUAACGGCUCACCAAGACCACGAUGUCUAGGGGUUCUGAGAGGAUUAUCCCCCACACUGGUACUGAGACACGGACCAGACUCCUACGGGAGGCAGCAGUGAGGAAUAUUGGUCAAUGGUCGCAAGACUGAACCAGCCAUGCCGCGUGCAGGAUGAAUGUUCUAUGAAUUGUAAACUGCUUUUCUAAGGGAAGAAACCUAUCUACGAGUAGGUAGUUGCCGGUACCUUAGGAAUAAGCAUCGGCUAACUCCGUGCCAGCAGCCGCGGUAAUACGGAGGAUGCAAGCGUUAUCCGGAUUCAUUGGGUUUAAAGGGUGCGUAGGCGGAUAUUUAAGUCAGUGGUGAAAUCUUGCGGCUCAACCGUAACAUUGCCAUUGAUACUGAAUGUCUUGAAUGCAGUUGAGGUAGGCGGAAUGUGUAAUGUAGCGGUGAAAUGCUUAGAUAUUACACAGAACACCGAUUGCGAAGGCAGCUUGCUAAACUGUGAUUGACGCUGAUGCACGAAAGCGUGGGGAUCAAACAGGAUUAGAUACCCUGGUAGUCCACGCUGUAAACGAUGAUUACUCGUUGUUUGCGAUAUAUAGCAAGCGACUGAGCGAAAGCAUUAAGUAAUCCACCUGGGGAGUACGUUCGCAAGAAUGAAACUCAAGGAA
rnacentral:rRNA from 1 species